rnacentral:lncRNA from 1 species
CCUUCCUGGUGCUGGUCGGGUGUGUUGCGGCGCAGUGGCCCAUGUCCUUGUGUGUUUCACUGCAGACUUUAUCAUGGCUUGAUAAGCAGUGCACAGGUCCAUGCCUGGGAUCCGAACCAGCAAACCCCAAGCUGCUGAAGUGGAGCAAGUGAACUCAACUGCUGUGCCACUGGGCUGGCCCCAACAGAUUUGUGUUUUCUCUCUAACCAAGCCUCCACAAGUUCAAGGUCACCAGCCAGUAAUCUAACUGUCUAAUGGAAAGAAGUAAGAAAUCACUAUAAGAAGAUAACAGAAGCUAGAAUCUCUACAGCAUAUGAUCUACAAUGCCCUGUGUAAAUAAAAACUAAUAGGAUUUUCUCACUCAAUUUUCCAUCUCCGGGACUCUUCUCUGACCCUUCAAGUCUAUAGACAGCAGCUUUCUGCUCGGGUCCUAACCGUCCUGAUGCCAUGUGGACUAGGGAGUGCCUUCAAGAGAAAAGUUAUGGAAAAGUGGACCUCACCCAACGAAUAUGGUUCCUUUCUUUAAAUGCUCAAAUUCCUUUUAAUAGCUGCCUACUUUUGGUUGUUCUCCAGUGACUUCAAGAGGUUUUUUGUUUUGUUUUUUUUCUCAGAGUUUAAUUGUUGUCUGUGGGAGGGUUCGUCCAUGACAAGCAGGUCUACCACUACCAGAACCAUAACUCCCAAUGUGUUGGUUUUAAAGAGGC